CGGGUCGGAGCGAAUUCACCGAACUUGUGACCGACCAUUUCUUCGGACACCGAGACGGGAACAUGCUUGUUGCCGUUGUAGACGCCGAAGGUCAGACCGACGAACUGCGGAAGGAUCGUGGAGCGACGGCUCCACAUCUUGA
rnacentral:sRNA from 1 species